rnacentral:rRNA from 1 species
CAGUAGCCGCGGUAAUACGUAGGGUGCAAGCGUUAAUCGGAAUUACUGGGCGUAAAGCGUGCGCAGGCGGUUAUAUAAGACAGUCGUGAAAUCCCCGGGCUCAACCUGGGAACUGCGAUUGUGACUGUAUGGCUAGAGUGUGUCAGAGGGGGGUAGAAUUCCACGUGUAGCAGUGAAAUGCGUAGAUAUGUGGAGGAAUACCGAUGGCGAAGGCAGCCCCCUGGGAUAACACUGACGCUCAUGCACGAAAGCGUGGGGAGCAAACAGGAUUAGAUACCCCCGUAGUUCCUGUCUCUUAUAC